UACGAAGGGGGCGAGCGUUGUUCGGAAUUACUGGGCGUAAAGGGCGCGUAGGCGGCCGAUCAAGUCAGAUGUGAAAGUCCUGGGCUUAACCUGGGGACUGCAUUUGAUACUGAUUGGCUUGAAUUCGGGAGAGGAUAGCGGAAUUCCCAGUGUAGAGGUGAAAUUCGUAGAUAUUAGGAAGAACACCGGUGGCGAAGGCGGCGACCUGGUCCGUGACUGACGCUGAGGCGCGAAAGCGUGGGGAGCAAACAGG
rnacentral:rRNA from 1 species